AAUCAACGCUGGCGGCGUGCCUCAGACAUGCAAGUCGAACGAUUAAGACUCUCUUCGGAGAGUGUAUAGAGUGGCGCACGGGUGAGUAACACGUAGGUAAUUUGCCUUCGGGUGGGGAAUAACUUGGGGAAACCCAAGCUAAUACCGCAUAAUGCAGCGGCACCGUAAUGGUGACAGUUGUUAAAGCUUUAUGCGCCUGAAGAGAAGCCUGCGGCGGAUUAGCUAGUUGGUAAGGUAAUGGCUUACCAAGGCGACGAUCCGUAUCCGGUCUUAGAGG
rnacentral:rRNA from 1 species